rnacentral:rRNA from 1 species
UACGAAGGGGGCUAGCGUUGCUCGGAAUCACUGGGCGUAAAGGGUGCGUAGGCGGGUCUUUAAGUCAGAGGUGAAAUCCUGGAGCUCAACUCCAGAACUGCCUUUGAUACUGAGGAUCUUGAGUUCGGGAGAGGUGAGUGGAACUGCGAGUGUAGAGGUGAAAUUCGUAGAUAUUCGCAAGGACACCAGUGGCGAAGGCGGCUCACUGGCCCGAUACUGACGCUGAGGCACGAAAGCGUGGGGAGCAAACAGG